AGCUCGCCGAAGGGCCCAAUUCGUACAGGCCCAGGCCGAGACCCGGCUCAAUUCAGUAGACCCUUUUCGCUGGCCGGCGCCUCGCCAGUUGCCGCCUCCGUCCCUUCGCUUCCACCUCCUCCGUCCCUGAUCCCAAUCGAGCCGCGCAGCAUCCUCAUCAUUUGUGAACAUUUCAGUAGACUCUCCCUCAUUUCUCUUGAUCUUUUCGUUCUGACGCCUUUCUCCAAUCCUGUUCCAACCAUCCGUGAAUCUUCAAUGGCUGUGUAAAACCAUUUACAAAGUUGAUCUUGGAAAAAUAGUCUUCAAGAGCUACCUAAUUCAACUGGAUAUACAUUUUCCACUUCUGGAAUAUCAUAUAUUUGCUAAGGGCACAUUCCAUAAAUGUGAAAAAUCUAAUGACCCCAAGAUGUAGCUAUAGCACUACAAUAACUCAAAUGUUGAUGCAGACUGUCUCAUCAUUGUUUGUAUCUCACAAGAGAAACACUAAAACUUGAGACUAUACUUCUCAUCCCAUAAAAGUGAAACUGGGGAGAAUUCUCUUACUUGUGAUGUAUGCCAUGGAACAUGGGAAGCUAUUGAAGAUGAAGAAAGCAAUCCAACUUGUCACAACAAGUAGAAGGGCAUUUUUUCCCUAAUAUUUCAAUCACAAAUGAAUUGUACUUGAGGAUCAUGAGUGAAACAGAUAGUUGUGUAUGCAAACGUAGGAAGUUUCAGAAGUUUGAUGUUGCAAUUCUGUCUGAAGAUGCUGUAGGAGGUUCUGACAAGGCCAUUGAGAAUGGAAACAAUUAUGACUGUCACCAUCUCGAGGAUCUAAUUGGAACCCCUUAUGUCAAGCAGAUAAAUCUUACUGCAGGUGAAUUAGUUGAUUCAAAUGAUAGUCCUGGGAAUGAAGCUACUGGAGGAAACAAAGUCCAUGCUGAAUUAUCCAUCACAAAAUUUCAAAAGCUUGAUUUAGAAUCGAUGGGUGACUUCCAUUCAACAAAGGAGCUGUGCAUAUUCAUUCUUAAAAGUCAUGGAUUGCUUGGAGUAACUUCUGAAAGUGUUUCUUGUGUUUCUCUUGAGGUCAUAGAUGGACUAACUUCCAAGUCUAAUCUAUUGUGCAAGCUAUGCUAUCAAUCUGGAAGUCCAUCAGGAAUGCUAAUUUGUGACCUAUGUGAAGAAGCAUUUCAUAUUAAUUGUUUGAAUCCUAAGAUAAACAAGAUACCAAUAGAUGAAUGGAAUUGUCAACCUUGUUCAAGAAACAAACCAAAUGUCCCUGAGCAAGGAUUAAGUAUAUCUUGUGGAGAUUUGAGCUCUAUAGCAUUUAUCUUGCGAGACAAAUUGCCUUAUACAACUGGGGUUCGAAUUGGUAAAGAUUUUCAAGCAGAAGUUUCAGAGUGGUCUGGUCCAGUACCAGAUGAGGAAUUCCAUCCAUUUGAGGAGCCUUUGGAAGUGGAUUUUGCUGAAUGUAGUCUUACUGCAUCUAACUUCAACAAGCAACCAAAAUCUGACUCUGUGGGUAAUUGGAUCCAGUGCCGUGAGAUAGUAUAUAGUGGUGAUGAUGAUGAGGGAACCAUAUGCGGAAAGUGGCGCAGAGUAGUGAUUGAUGGCAAACCUUGACAAACAUGAGAAGUGAGAGUCAGCCUUUGUGCAACACAAUGUUGCACCUCUGUUUGGGCAUUGGCUGUACAAUCAAUUGAACUUAAAUCCUGUUUAGGCUGCUGACUUAUGUCCUGGGAAUUCUGAUAUUCUUCUUGGUAUGAUCUGCUGAUCUAAUACUUUGGUUGGUAUUUCUAUUUCCUUCCUAUGUACUCUCUACUUAUUGCAAGGGGAGUAAGGUCUCUGUAAACAUUACACCGUACUCUAAUUCCUAGCUGAAGGUUUAAAUUAAGAUUUCUUUUUGUUGUAGUGCUCUUUCGGUCUUAAUGUUCUUUAAUGUGUAUGGCCGUAUGCUAUACGGCCUAAGAUGUGAUCUACGAAGCAGUUUCUUUGAAGAAUCUUCAGGACAACAAAAUUUGCUGCAUGGUUUAUGUCUACCCUGCUAGAUAUUCUAUUUCUUUAUUUACUCCAUAAGGACUUCAAAACUGUCUUUUAGACAGUGAGUGUAGUUCACAAGAAUCUAGGAGUUGCAAGCAAAUUCCUAAUCCAUAUUAUUCUCCCCUAUCAAAGAGAACUCAACUUCAGCUUCAAGUGAGUUGUAAUCAUCUUGUUAGCCAAUCACUUUCAAGUAUAAGAAAUAAUUGUGUUGCCAACUCUAUUAAGCAUAGUUUUUUUUAUUAUUAUCUAUCUUUUGUUGUCCAUUUCAAAGAGUGAGAAUUUGUGCAUUUCAUUUCUCCAUUUAGUUCUUGAGGAAUUAAGCUUCAACUUUAUUCUCUUUCUUUUUAUUCAUCCCUUCUAUUGGACUAAUCACGGGGUGAGGAGGAUGUUCAAUGUUAGUCAUGUCCAGUGGAAAUGACAAUAGUGGGUGAGGAGGAUGUUCAAUGUAGUCAUGUCCAGUGGAAAUGACAAUAGUGAAUGAAUUUGCUUGAACCAAAAAUGAACUAUAUGACCUAUGUUAAAGUCAACAUGUAUGGUAGAUUUAGAAUGUCUCUUAGUAAAAUAGCUUAUGCUCUAAUUUUAAAAUUGUAUUAAUGGUUGUAUAAGUUAGUAAUUUAUAUAAACAUGUAUUAGAAUAAAUUUUCUCACAAUAUGACCAAAUAAAUUGGACAUAGAGGCUCCUAAAGUAGUUAUGAAAUAAUUAAAAGUUCAUGAAUGGAAUAUGAUAAUCUAUUGUUCACUAAAUACUUUAGUUUAUACUUUUUUUUUUGGGUGCCAAAAUGUGUCUCUCAUAUUGUCUCAAUAUAAAAGUCAAAAUAUGGUGACAAGCAGAAGACACCGAAGUAAACUUUCUAGAUUGAAGUGCUUUAGAGUCAAAUAACUAUAAAAUAGCACAUAUCUAUAAAAAUCUUAGGUGGUUUACCAAUUCUCAAAUGACCUUCUUGCAUUGUUAAUUCAGUAUGUUUAUUUUGUUUUGGUUUCUCUUUUACUUUCUCGGCUUAACAUGUGAGUUAUAUGUUUGGGCCUAAGUUUAAGAAUCUUGUCAUUAGACACAUUUUUGGUGAUCGAAUGAUCAACUGAACAGGAUAUGUAAUGUUUUAUGUGUUAUUUAAUGCAACACUAACACGAUAAGAAACUAAUUUUUUUUUUGAACCUCAAAAACAUAUCCAUUUAAAUUUUUUGCAUCAUUACUUUCUCGGGAAUGAAUUUAAAAUUUAGUAACAAUAUCUUCUGUGAAUUUGUUGAAGAGCACCCUUAUUUCUGCUUCAAACUGAUGACUGGGAUUGUUCUUCUGCAAUUCCCUGGGAUCCAGAUCAUGCUGACUGUGCUGUUCCUCAGGAACUGCCAACAGAAGAAGUCAUGAGACACCUCAAAUUCGUAGAGACG